UCCAUUGUAUCACACACAUGUCCAUUGUAUGACACGCGUGUUGUUGCCGUGUCACACACGUGUUGUUGCCAUGUCACACGCGUGUCGUUGCCGUGUUACACAUGUCCAUUGCAUGACACAUGUGUCCUUGUCAUGUCACACACAUGUCCAUUGUAUUACACACGUCCAUUGUAUGACACGCGUGUCCUUGUCAUGUCACACGCGUGUUGUUGCCGUGUUACACGCGUAUGCUCCCCCCGUGUUCCAUGUUGGUGUUUCCCGUGUCUCCCAUUGGCGGCUCCACGUCCCCGUCGUCAGACACAGGAUCCUCUGGGGGCACAAAGGGGGGAAAUCAAUGGGGCUGCCCCAUAGCGGAGCCCUAUAGGGAUCCCUGCCCCAUAGCGUAGCCCUACAGGGAUCCCUGACCCAUAGCAGAGCCCUAUAGGGAUCCCUGCCCCAUAGCGGAGCCCUAUAGGGAUCCCUGCCCCAUAGCGGAGCCCUAUAGGGAUCCCUGCCC
rnacentral:lncRNA from 1 species